GGCUGUCCAAAGGAUUUUUUUCCUCCCAAAUGAAUCAUGGAAAUUAGAGAUAGAAAAGAUCAAGUCAGAAGUGGAUAAAACCCUACGAUAGUACCAGUUUAAUACAAUCUUGUUACCAAGCUUUUAGGAGGAGAAACAUGCCUGAAUGAUUAUCUUCAAAGCUCCAAGGGCAGGAGGAUAAACAGCAAGGAAGGAAAAGAGCCAUGAUUCAUCAGCUCAAGUCGUUUCAGCAUGAAAAAGAGGUGUAGGAGGGUUGGGAAGAGAAAUUUAAAUUACCAUUAUUUCUAAAGAGACGGUAACUCAUGAAAUCAGGAAGUGCCCCAGAGGAGUUUCUGGGGAAACACCUUCUAGAACAUAAGUGAGGAAGAACUGUUAUAUCUCACUUGUGUACAAGGCAGAAGUUCUAGAUCUCUAUGAGAAGAUUAAUGCAUUUAUUAGGAGUGAUAGUUGGGUAUGGCAGUUUUGGCUGGUUAGUGGAAUCUUAAGCCCAAGAAAUGCUGGGAAAUAAGACAUGUAUACAGGAUGAGUAUUUAACAUCUUUCUGAAAUUGAUCUCCUGAGAACCACUUGAGGCUAGCAAUUAUUUUUUAAUCUGCCACAGAUAAAAUUUUCAAAUUAAUAAUAAGGUAUUUACCAAAAUGAUGAACAUAGUGUAAUAACCUAGAGGAAUUAGACACCUUUAGAUAACAGAAAAGAGAAGAUACUACUUAUAACAGUGGUACAAAGAGGAACAUGUGAUUCUCAGGACUUUCCACAGACAGCAGGGACCUCUUCAGUAAGGGGAAGUACAGUGUGAAGUGAGGAAGAAUAGCAAGACAGGCUGUCUCCUGCAACAAUGAAUCUCUCUUUAUAAUGAAGUCCUCUGGCAGAGAAAAGUAAUUCACAACAAUAGGAUUCACCUUCAAAUUGACCUUAAAAAGAAAGAGCAUUUAGUUCUGGAAAGAAGCUUCAACUGUCAUACCUUUUAAUGCUCAAUUGUUUAUACCUACAGUGGUGUUGAAGUACACUUCAGCUUUUCCAGGCCAAUUCCAACAAUGUCAGUGGGACAAAGAGAUUCUCAAUAGCCAUCAGACUUUUGUUAAUCUAUGUUAAAAUGUGACUUUUACUUAAACAGUUAUUUUAAGAUAUUAUUUACUUUA